rnacentral:rRNA from 1 species
AUUGAACGCUGGCGGCAUGCUUUACACAUGCAAGUCGAACGGCAGCGGGGGCUUCGGCCUGCCGGCGAGUGGCGAACGGGUGAGUAAUGCAUCGGAACGUGCCCAGUCAUGGGGGAUAACUACGCGAAAGCGUAGCUAAUACCGCAUACGCCCUGAGGGGGAAAGUGGGGGAUCUUCGGACCUCACGUGAUUGGAGCGGCCGAUGUCAGAUUAGCUAGUUGGUGAGGUAAAGGCUCACCAAGGCGACGAUCUGUAGCGGGUCUGAGAGGAUGAUCCGCCACACUGGGACUGAGACACGGCCCAGACUCCUACGGGAGGCAGCAGUGGGGAAUUUUGGACAAUGGGCGCAAGCCUGAUCCCAGCCAUGCCGCGUGAAGGAAGACGGCCCUACGGGUUGUAAACUUCUUUUAUACGGGGAAUAAAGUGCCCCACGCGUGGGUUUUGCAUGUACCGUAUGAAUAAGGAUCGGCUAACUCCGUGCCAGCAGCCGCG